UACGUAGGGUGCAAGCGUUGUCCGGAAUUACUGGGCGUAAAGAGCUCGUAGGCGGUCUGUCGCGUCUGCUGUGAAAACUCGGGGCUUAACCCCGGGCCUGCAGUGGGUACGGGCAGACUAGAGUGCGGUAGGGGAGACUGGAAUUCCUGGUGUAGCGGUGAAAUGCGCAGAUAUCAGGAGGAACGCCAAUAGCGAAGGCAGCUCGCUGGGACGUUACUGACACUGAGGCGCGAAAGCGUGGGGAGCGAACAGG
rnacentral:rRNA from 1 species